CCUAAUCGAGGAACAAGCAGACAUUGCCGACGCCGACGUGUCGGCUCUAUACCCACCUAGGAGGCGAGGAGGCCAAGGCCUCCCACCGUCGCCCACUUCCAGGCUUCCAGCACGUGGACGGACACCGAAGCCGCCACGGCGCGCGCCACCGCCCAAGUAGGCACUGCCGGCAAUAAUCUCAGCAACGAGAAAUUUGGAUUUUUGACACCCAUAGCUUCGCACAUUUGAUACUACAAAGAUGGACUUCGCAAAUU
rnacentral:lncRNA from 1 species